AACGAACGCUGGCGGCAUGCCUAACACAUGCAAGUCGAACGAAGCCUUCGGGCUUAGUGGCGCACGGGUGCGUAACGCGUGGGAAUCUGCCCCUUGCUUCGGAAUAACAGUUAGAAAUGACUGCUAAUGCCGGAUGAAGUCUUCGGACCAAAGAUUUAUCGGCAAGGGAUGAGCCCGCGUAGGAUUAGGUAGUUGGUGGGGUAAAGGCCUACCAAGCCGACGAUCCUUAGCUGGUCUGAGAGGAUGAUCAGCCACACUGGGACUGAGACACGGCCCAGACUCCUACGGGAGGCAGCAGUGGGGAAUAUUGGACAAUGGACGCAAGUCUGAUCCAGCAAUGCCGCGUGAGUGAUGAAGGCCUUAGGGUUGUAAAGCUCUUUUACCAGGGAUGAUAAUGACAGUACCUGGAGAAUAAGCUCCGGCUAACUCCGUG
rnacentral:rRNA from 1 species